rnacentral:rRNA from 1 species
CCCGUAGCUCAUACUGCAUGACCAUUUUUGAACAGAACAGUGCAAACGAACAUGUGGCUGUUGCUUAGGGGCAAUACAUCGUAUUGGCACAGCAGAAUCUCACCUGGACAAGUUGGUCCUCGUUCAGUGCUGCCAAACUGACAAGAAUGGGAAAUCUUCCAAUAAAUUCUGGAAUCAACCCAUACGCAAUCAGGUCACUGCUCUCAACCUGCAAGAGGGGAGAAAAGAAAGAACCCCACUGUGUCCUUAGCAAAGCCCAUAGCACACAAAGCAGCAAGAAUAGCAUGCACGGACAUGCUCCGAAAAAGCCAAGCCAAAAGCACUCACAGAAGGAAAUGUAGCUAAGACGAAACAUCCAUUCAGCCAAACAACUCUAUGCUAGGAAUGAAGUGACUGGCAUGUAAUCUGUGACUGAUUUUGUACAGCUAGAGGAGGAGAGGAGGGGAAGGCGAGGCAAGGGCCUCAGCUGCUCUGUUUGGCACAAUGUCCUCCAGUGAGGUUAGUUUCCUCCCCCCCCCCCCUCUCUCUCUCUCUCUCUCGCUCUCUCUCUCCAGACUUGCCAACGCGUAAAACUUUACCAGCCCUUGACAUAUGAAAGAAACUCCCCAUAAGAGAUGUACUUUUGACUUCAUACAGGUGCUGCAUGCCUGUCGUCAGCUCGUGCCAUGAGAUGUUGGGUCAAGUCCUAUAACGAGCGCAACCCGCGUUUUGUGUUGCUAAGACAUCACAACGAUGUGCUGCACUCACAAAAAACUGCCAGUGAUAUACUGAAGGAAGGUGGGGAUGACGUCAAGUCCGCAUGGCCCUUAUGGGCUGGGCUACACAGGUGCUACGAUGGCAAUGACAAUAGGAAGCAAGGCUUUAAGACGGAGCGAAUCUUGAAACAUUGCCUCAGUUCGGAUUGUUCUCUGCAACUCGAGAACAUGAAGUCGGAAUCGCUAGUAAUCGCGGAUCAGCAUGCCGCGUUGAAUAUGUACUCAGGCCUUGUACACACCGCCCAUCACACCAUGGGAAUUUCUUUUGCCCGAAGUCGUCUCUAUGAUAACCCAAUGACUUCGAUAUGUUACGCACGUCGAGUGCGCAGCAUGUUUUUCGCAUCAUUGAUCAUAGAGACUAUCACAGUAGAAUCUGUGACUGAGGUGAAGUCGUAACAAGGUAGCCGUAGGGGAACCUGCUGCUG